UUGCAUAGUGAUUCCCUUUCAGAGCUUUCUCGGGUCCAUAACAAGCCCAGGCAGCUAUUCAAAUGCAAGUUGCGUCCCCAAAUGCCCGGCUGGCCUGAGCAAAAGGAGCGGCUCGUCACCAAACGAGCCGAGACCAGCGCUGGGGUUCUGGGUCACCUCCUUUCUCCCGGCUUUUCCCUCGCUCUCGGGUUCCUGAAUUAGCUGUUUGUUUACGGCUACAGACUUGUGUGUGCCAGCGAACCGAGCCAGCGCGCGAGGGAGGGAAUUGAUCUUUCCCCAGACUCAAAGCUGGAGCGGAAGAAGUGCGGGGGAUUUGGGGUUCUGAGUGGGACUCAGCCCCUGGGUGCUGAGGAGAAGCCUGUGGGGCUCUCUAGCCCGCUUCUCUAACCCCAGCGACCUUGCAGGAAUCCUCAGGCCUGAGAGCUGCCCGGCUCUGGGCUUUGCAGAAAGUGGCGGCGGCUGCGUCCCGGUCUUUAAAACGAACGCAAAGAAAGGAGGCAAAGCUGAAACCUUGUCGCGUGUCAGAAGCAACCUGCCGUGAAAUUCGUUAAUGCGCCCCGACUCGCCCUUCGCGGUAAGCCAGCCUCUCAGGUCCACGCAGCCGUGGACCGAGAAGGGGGAAUCAGCGCGGCCAGGUGUGCCACGCGAGUCCUCGACUGAGCUCGUGGCCACGUACACAGCGUGGGAGCCGGGGGCAGAGGGCAGAGCCCGCGUCACGCCCGGGAAGCAGAAAGGGGGAGCCCCCCUCCCAGCCCGCCUGCCCGCCACCGUGGGUAACAGGUCCUCCCCGCGAGUUUAAAGCAGCAAAUGAGAGCGGAGAGCCGGCCUCGGAGCGGGGUGUAAACGCGGGUGGCGGGCACGCGAGCGCGCGGCUGAGCUUUGCGCGCGGUUCUCCUCCUGAGCUGCGCGCCGCGGCCCCGCGCACCUGCUUUGUGCGUUUUGUACAAACGGAACGGGCGGGAUCCACUCCUUCGCGCAACACCCCCAACUGGAAUCUGUCUGUUCUUCCCCCCACGUCCAGUUGACGUUUCCACGUGGCUCAGGUUACUCCUCUGUCCCUUGGAAUCUACCCAACCCUUUUAAAGACAAUCGUGGCCACUGACCUUGAUACUCUAAAUGUCGUGAUAUAACUAUCUCGUUCUCUACAGUGGUGGCUAAAUUUGUGUUCUAAUUUUUUUUUUUAAAUACUGGGGGGAAACGUAGGUUAUUUAAACCUGCAGACAGAGUUAAAUACAUUUCUCAAAUAUUCUUCUCAUACUACCUCAGCGCUGAGAGCGGGCAGGAAGCUUCUUCGUGGUGCCUGCUUUUUGUAGAACGCAUGGAGUCAUUCUCUCAGUGUUUGUUUGUUUGUUUGUUUGUUUUGGUAUCUUUGAAAAAUAGAGACUGUUUCUCUCUUCUUUCUAUAACCUGUUCUUUAGCAACCAAAACAGUAAAGGUGUGUUUGAGAUCGAAUAGUGAGGAAAGCAGUCAUGUUGGGACGAAUAAAUCCAACAUAAAUUGAAAGCCUAUGGCUCCACUUCAGGACAAAGCAAAUGAGACUAUGAAAAAGAUGCGAGCAAUUAGUGUCUGUGGGGCAAGCAGGUUUAAAACCGAAAUGUCUAGACUUUCCUCACAAAACAAAACGAAGCCAAAAGAAAUACGUUGCCUUGCCCUUGGAUGUCUUACGGAAGAGGCCUGCCCAAGAGCCAUCCUGGACCAGUGUGCACUCAGAGACUGUCCAGAGGCAGAUUCACUUUGAGACAGUUGCAUACAUUUUCAGCAAACUAGAACCAAUUAGGGGACCGUUAGUUCUGGCGGGAAACUAUUUUAAUUUUAUCUCUACCUUUGGGGGGGGUAGGGAGAAGCCCUGGCAGUUAAGUUAUUACUGGUUCCUGUGGAGUUAAUUUAAUGCAAAUAGUCUACUCUCUUGUCAGCAAGGGAGAAAGUAGAAGCCCCGGGGGUCAGGGAGGGCCAGUCAGAUGAUGAGGAAGCCUCUUGGCUCUGGGGACGGACUUACAAGACUCUGAAGUAACGUUGGGCUGGUUGCUUCUUUCCCUCUCCUAAAACUGUAACUCAAGAUGUAAGUAAAAGUGUUUUCAUUUUUUUUAUUGAUCCCACUAACAUCUUUCAUUAUCCAGCAUGUAGCCACAGCAAAUUAUUGCUCAUUUGAUACCCAGAAUUCUAUUGACCAUGGCUUUCGUCGGAGAGAGAAUUUUAACUACUGGCUGCUCUGGGCUCGGAGCUGAGGCUGGGAACAAGUAAAUCCAGCCCUGACCGACAAGAAUUGAUGGGGAUGUGCUGUUGAUUGGAGCCACGUGGACUUGCAUAGAAACCUGCUUUUUACUCUGCCUGUCUCGCUCCAAUUCAGGAGAAAGGUCGGGCCCCUUUGGAACAGAUUUGCUUACUUGGAAGGCUGGAUAUUCAUUUGGCAAGCUCUUUCCAGCUCUAGCCAGGCUGGGGAAGAAAAAUGAGACAACGGAAGGUUGCUCCUCAGGCUUUGGGUCAAAACUAACCCAAGGCAGGAAUACCUGAAGAGAUAUUAAACCAUACCUUUUGAUUCUGCUGUAUGAAGAUCGUGUCCUAAAUUUCAACACCCCCCACCCCAACUCCUUCAAGACUCUACAGCAUUACAGAGCUGCCAGAGAGAGGAAAGCACCCUGAGACCCGAGUCCGGUUGGCAGUGGACACCCAGCCUCCAUGACAGGAGCCACAGCUAUAGCGUCCACUUGUGUAAAGAAGGAGCCUGUGCCCAGAGAAUGUCUGAUCUUUGACCCUGGAACUCACAGCUCCAAGUUGCUGGAGAGAGUUAGUCCCAAAAUGAGGCUGCAGAAGAGGUCCCUGAAGGGCUGUGGAAAAGGCCAAGUGAGUUCCCCAGAAAGACAAUCGCAGACUUGGCAUUCCUGUUGCAGCGUCCAAGCAGAAGACCCAAAGACUUGACCUGCCAAAGGGUGCCUGCCCAUCUCCUUCUGUGGCCUAGUGAGGGACCUAUUCCUCACCUCCUCACUGCCACCACCUGGGAGAAAGUCACCUCACCUCAACUCAACAGAUAACAAGUCAAAGUGGAUCAGACCGCAGAACCUAUCAGAGUUCCAGGGAACAAGCAAUCCACACCCUUCUCCUUCAGCCCUGACACCUAGAGAGUCCAUGGAAGAGAUGGCUGGCAGGGGUUUCAUUCCAGCAAGUACGGGAGCUAAACCCUCUAGGCCAGUUUCCAGAGCAACAACAAGAACAAUAAAAAUAAGCAAUUUCCUCACUUUCUAAAUGUGUCCCAGCAUGUGUCGCCUAGCUCCAGACCUGAAGGUGCAUUUAAAGGUGCUAAGGGACCUGGCUGGGUAGUUUUGAGGUUUUUUUCCUAACAAUACUGCUAAAUGUAUGUGAAACCACAGUCGAGAAGCCACGUUGUUCCAGAACCAGGCAGUAAAAAUGUAGAAGUAGGCGCUGCAUGUCCAACGUGGAGUACGGAGUGCGGGAGACACGGGGAAAUUGCGACGGAUUCUGACACUAUCAUUGAAGAUGUUGGGAGUGUGGAAGAGGAUACAUUGUGGGUUCUUUUGUGGUUUUUAUGUAGAUUUAAAAACAAACAAACCCCCCAAACCCAGCUGUUGAUGUAAUCAUAGCAUCUCAGAUGUAGUAUAUUUCCCCUAAUAUAUUCACAGGGGAGAUAUAUAUAGAUAUAGAUAUAGAUAUAGAUAGAUAUAUAUCCUAAGUUCAUGUGGAAAACAAAUAUUUUGCUGAUUCCAGCAGCACAAGCUCUGAAAGCCAAAACAAGCAAACAAACCACUUGUGGGGACAAGGGGAGGGUGACUUCAAGCAGUCCUUCCCACAGGGGUGGCUGGCUUAGGGCUGUGGAGUCCAGAAAAGGCAAAGUAGAUCAUCACCGGAACUCAAAGUUACCUUGGGAAACAAGACAAGACCUGGGGUCGAAGUCAUGUGGGGGUCAGCCAGUAGUCCUUUGGGGUAUAGCAUAGCUGAGAAGUUCUCAGAUGGACUCAGUUGCUUCAGACUGGAGACUGGGAAGUUUCUUCCCCUGGCAAGCACAGCACCAAUCACUCCCAGAGUCAGGAGUCCUCACCUCUCCCUCAGGAGGCUCCUGACUGAGGUACCGCACUUCCCAACUGCCUUAGGCUGCUCGGGGUGUUGCCAGGCAAAUGAAACAAAAGGAACUCAAUAGUAAAUUAUUUUGUUCAGCCUUCUGUCUUUUUAUGAAAAUAAAAGCCAACACUUUGUCAUUUUUAAUCGCAUAAGCAGACAAUAAAUCUAAUUUCGAUAUUGA